UUUUGGGCCUAGCGUAAUUUGUGGAUAUACUAUCUUGGGGUGAUGGAGAUUGCGGGUUCAAAUCCCGCUGCUCCAAA
rnacentral:tRNA from 1 species